rnacentral:rRNA from 1 species
UACAGAGGGUGCAAGCGUUAAUCGGACUUACUGGGCGUAAAGCGUGCGUAGGUGGUUAAAUAAGUCGAAUGUGAAAGCCCUGGGCUUAACCUAGGAACUGCAUUUGAUACUGUUUGGCUAGAGUAUAGUAGAGGGUAGUGGAAUUUCCGGUGUAGCGGUGAAAUGCGUAGAUAUCGGAAGGAACAUCAGUGGCGAAGGCGGCUACCUGGGCUAAUACUGACACUGAGGCACGAAAGCGUGGGUAGCGAACAGG